UUUCUGAAGGCUCUUUAUUUGGUUUCAAAGUGUGAGUGACCCAUUAUCACUUAAAUAUUUACCAUAUUGGGUUCCACAAUGUUCUACUAUUUUUGUCUCCCAUUGUUAUUACUGACUAAACUAUUACCCAAAUAGGCAGCGUCAAUUCCUAUAAAUAUCUCAUUGGUUAGAUGUUAGUCUCCUCUUCAGUUAACAUACUGUCCAACAAUUUUUAUCGUAAACUAGGUGCUCAGUAAAGGAAGAAAGACUAUACAAGAAUGGAUUUUGCAUUUAAUGUUAAUACCAAUCAUAGACUAUGGGAUGUAAUAAAUGCAUUUGCACCGCAAAGACAUUAUGGGGACCAAAAGCACUUCAUCUAAAUUAAGUGUUUUUUUUGGUUUUUUUUAUGUUUAUUGUUUUUAUUAUUUUUGGAUAGCGUUACAAAGAAAUUUUUCAUAUACAAACAUACAUUGUUUAAAUGCCGAAAUGUGCAAAUUAUAAUUAUCCAUUUGAGAUCAUCUGUCUGGUUACAAAUCCAAAAUCCUGACUCGAUAUAACAUAGG